ACGAGCCGGAAUCGGGACCCGACGAAUGGGGCUUCUGCCCGAGCGGAGGGAUGGAUGGACGGAUGCAGCCUGCACGGAGGACCGGGAGCCCGCGGCAGCGACCAUGCAUCGCACCGAGAAACGCCUCCUGCUGCUGUGGACGUAUUGUAUGCCGACGCAGAGGAUAAUGCCAGCCUAAAACAACGGAUUCAUAGUGCUUUUUUUCCAUCACGAUGUGUGCUUGGAGUGACAGUAGUUAGCGACUGGAGACAGGCUCCAUUCAUAGAGUGAUGGAAUCUGUGGAGUCCAGAUAAAAGUGCAGCAUCAGAGAAAACACACACACAACCUCUGUGAUCUGUGAGCCUGCAAGACAACACACAGCAACUCCUGCUCUGAAGAUCUGAGGUCACACAACGGGUCAGAACUUCAUCCUUCUAAAGUUACAGCUGGAAGAAGAAGACGAAGAAGAGGAGAAGGAGGAGGAGGAGGAGGAGGCAAGGGAGGAGGAGGAAAAAGAAAAGCAGAGUGGGUGGAAGAAUGGAAGGAGAGAAGGAUGUAAGCAGUUCGAGGAGGUGGUUCGAAGCGGGUGAACCCGGAGCAGGUGAACACAGCUGUGGAUCGCCAUGGGCUCUCUGGCUGCCUUCCUCCUGUGGCCCCGGCGCUGCAUACAGGGGUCCCGGGGAGCCAGCAGGGGCCAGCCAAAGCUGCGGCAGAGUGGGCAGGCUAGGCCAGCCGAGCCAGGAGAGAGGCAGGUGAGGCGGGUGAGCCAAGCGCUCAUCCCCGCCGGCUAGGAGCCUCCGCGGCAGAGCGGAGCAGCACGGAGCAGCAGAAAUCAAUACAGAGGAGAGAGGCUAGCAGAGGUUGCCCAGCACCGCCUGCAGGCCUCGGAGCCCAGGGACCAACCUCCACCACUGCUCCCAGCUCUCUCUCCAUCUCUCUUUCUAUCUUCCUCUAACAGUCCCAGAAUCAGCAGGGGCCAGGGCCCUAACCCUGCAACCACCCCACACGCAGUGUGUGUGUCAGGAGGUGCACAUGUGUGUGUAAAAUUGAGAGAAAAAGGGAGAGGGAAGAGACGGAGAGAGGGAGACUUUGUGUGUGGUUCACCCGGAGGGGUUUUUGCUGCGUCCAACACCGCUUGAUAAAAGUUUGUCAGAGAGACACGCAGACUGUGAGGGAGGGUGAGAAAUGGAAAAGGAAUGAGAGGACGUGGAAGGUCUUUUUUCAUCCAGCUCCCUCCCUCUUAUUACUCAUUCCACCUUAACUGUUUGAAUAAGGUUCCACUGGAGACACUGUGUUUCUGCUCUGUCCCACUUCCAAGCACCUAGCGCACAAUAUUCCUAAGAUCUCAUGAGCCAGGAUGAAAGGAACAAUUUGAACUUUUUCUCCCAUUCGCUGUGUCAGACACAACCUGUCUUUUCACCUUAGAUUUUCCUACCCUCACUACAGCAGCUCCCAUCAGAGGAUAUGGCAGCACAGUAUUGAUCUAUAAGGUGGAAGAGAGGGAGGCGGGCCGGGGCUUUCAUACCUCUCUCAUGUGUGUGGAAAUAGCACCUGAAGUCCACUUACUGCCUUGCAGCAGGGAUCCCAUGGCAGCAUGAGUGAAUGGCUGCUAAUUGAAUGAGAGAUGAAAAGGACAGUAGCUGUACGUGUUCAGAAACCUCCCCACUCCCUGCAUCUCUGAAACUAUGGGGCUUUUCAUCUGACUUUUUCUGUCCUCCAUGUUUACAAAAGUCCUCCUCAACACAAAAGAGAUGUUUAAAUAAAAAGUUGGCAGUGACUGAAAAAAUUGAAAAGAUCCUCAGGAAUAGAAAAAACAGGCUGACAUCAGUGUAGAGGUGAAUUCUUAAGGAGGAAGCAGAAAGAAGAAGACGAUAGAAUAUACUACCCAUGCCAAAAAACAAGUACUGCAUAUUACUGCUGACUUGGAAGGACAUUACAAGAAAGACGGACAGUUUUCCAAACAGGAAAAUUUACAGUUGGAUCACACCUUUUGAUGCAGCCAGUCAGUGAUGCCUCGACAGAGUUAAAAAAGACAAAGAACACCAUGGGUCCCUACUCCAAAACAUCACACAUGCAAUCUGUAACUAGUUUAAAUGGACAUGUUUAGUCUCAGCUACAUAUGGAACGAACCACCUCUACACCUGCAAGAACAGUCAAAUAAACUCUCAUCUUCUGGGGGCGAUUAUCAUUUCUCCAGUGUGUGGUCUUUGUGGACGAGGACAGGUAAGUCUGAGCUGCUUUCUAAAGGUAAGUUAAGAGGUUGGAUCAAUUUUAAAGCUGUGUGAAGUACAAAAUGGAGCUACUGAGCAACAUUUGCCAGAGUUCAUUUUAUUAGACAUGAUUUACUAUAUUCCAGACCAAUUUUAGGUCGGAGAUUGGAUGACACCACAAGGGGUCCUUCCUUUUUCUCAGUAAUUCAGAUUCAAGUAUUUGACUGGAAAAGUGUUAAUCUCGUUUUGUGGAGGCUGAAAAUCUCCCCACUUUUCUGUUGGAUAUUGCGUACACGUAUAUGUUCUUAUAACAUUUUAUAUUUUAGAUAAUUAAGUAAUUUAUCAUGGUAUAUUAACAGAGAUUUUCUGAAUGCCAAAAGUUUUUCUUUGAUGUGAUCUGAGUUUCCAAUAAAGCUGAACGAUUUAUG